AUGUAAUUGAAUGAUAAACUAUAUUAUAAAAUCUUUUUUUUGCUCAAUUCAAUUUAUUUCUUCUUCAGCAUUUCAAAGGUCUCUUAAUCGAAGGUACCCUAAUAUUUUAUAGGAUAAUUAACAGUAAAUGCUUGCAUUUAUUAGAAGCCAUGGAUCCAUAAUACUUAUAACCAUAUGUUAUAUUUGGUUUAGAUUUGUAGUUAUCUAAAUUGGAGUUAAAUCCUAAUCCUAAUUGGGAUUGGAUAUAAUUUAGAUUUAAUUUGGCAUAUAUGGAUUAUGAGUCAGAAUCUAAUUUCUAAUUGAAUUAGGAUUAGACUCUAUUUAGGAGACAUGUAUUAUAAAUAUAUGCUACGG
rnacentral:lncRNA from 1 species